CUACGGGGUGCACCAGUGAGGAAUAUUGCACAAUGGGGGGAACCCUGAUGCAGCAACGCCGCGUGGAGGAUGACGCAUUUCGGUGUGUAAACUCCUUUUAUAUGUCAAGAAAAUGACGGUAGCAUAUGAAUAAGCACCGGCUAACUCCGUGCCAGCAGCCGCGGUAAUACGGAGGGUGCAAGCGUUACUCGGAAUCACUGGGCGUAAAGGACGCGUAGGCGGGUUGGAAAGUCAGGUGUGAAAUCCUACAGCUUAACUGUAGAACUGCACUUGAAACUUCUAAUCUAGAGUAUGGGAGGGGGAGAUGGAAUUAGUGGUGUAGGGGUAAUAUCCGUAGAUAUCACUAGGAAUACCUGAAGCGAAGGCGAUCUCCUGGAACAUUACUGACGCUAAGGCGUGAAAGCGUGGGGAGCAAACAGGAUUAGAUACCCGUGUAGUC
rnacentral:rRNA from 1 species